AGUGAACGCUGGCGGCAGGCCUAACACAUGCAAGUCGAACGAACUCUUCGGAGUUAGUGGCGGACGGGUGAGUAACACGUGGGAACGUGCCUUUUGGUUCGGAAUAACUCAGGGAAACUUGUACUAAUACCGAAUGUGCCCUUCGGGGGAAAGAUUUAUCGCCAUUAGAGCGGCCCGCGUCUGAUUAGCUAUUUGGUGAGGUAACGGCUCACCAAGGCGACGAUCAGUAGCUGGUCUGAGAGGAUGACCAGCCACACUGGGACUGAGACACGGCCCAGACUCCUACGGGAGGCAGCAGUGGGGAAUCUUGCGCAAUGGGCGAAAGCCUGACGCAGCCAUGCCGCGUGAAUGAUGAAGGUCUUAGGAUUGUAAAAUUCUUUCACCGGGGACGAUAAUGACGGUACCCGGAGAAGAAGCCCCGGCUAACUUCGUG
rnacentral:rRNA from 1 species